rnacentral:rRNA from 1 species
GAUGAACGCUGGCGGCGUGCCUAAUACAUGCAAGUCGAGCGAACAGACGAGGAGCUUGCUCCUCUGACGUUAGCGGCGGACGGGUGAGUAACACGUGUAUAACCUACCUAUAAGACUGGGAUAACUUCGGGAAACCGGAGCUAAUACCGGAGAAUAUAUUGAACCGCAUGGUUCAAUAGUGAAGGUCGGUUUUGCUGUCACUUAUAGAUGGAUCCGCGCCGCAUUAGCUAGUUGGUAAGGUAACGGGUUACCAAGGCAACGAUGCGUAGCCGACCUGAGAGGGGGAUCGGCCACACUGGAACUGAGACGCGGUCCAGACUCCUACGGGAGGCAGCAGUAGGGAAUCUUCCGCAAAGGGCGAAAGCCUGACGGAGCAACGCCGCGUGAGUGAUGAAGGUCUUGGGAUCGUAAAACUCUGUUAUUAGGGAAGAACAAAUGUGUAAGUAACUAUGCACGGCUUGACGGUACCUAAUCAGAAAGCCACGGCUAACUACGUG